AAGUCAUAACAAGGUUUCUGUAGGUGAACCUGCAGAAGGAUCAUUAGUGAAUGUGCGGUUGCGGAUUCGUCCCAGCCCAUCUUUUUCUAUUGACACACCUGUGCACCGGUAGUCGUCAUGUUGUUAAACAUGGCUCUACCAACACUUUUGAAAACACAUUCUAGUUUUGAACGUAUAAUCUUAAAAUAAAAGAUAACUUUUGACAACGGAUCUCUUGGUUCUC
rnacentral:misc_RNA from 1 species